rnacentral:rRNA from 1 species
UACAUAGGGGGCAAGCGUUGUCCGGAUUUAUUGGGCGUAAAGAGCGUGUAGGCGGCCAGGUAGGUCGGUUGUGAAAACUGGAGGCUCAACCUUCAGACGUCGACCGAAACCAUCUGGCUAGAGUCCGGGAGAGGAGAGUGGAAUUCCUGGUGUAGCGGUGAAAUGCAUUGAGAUCGGAAAGAACACCAACGGCGAAAGCACUACU